rnacentral:rRNA from 1 species
GACGUAGGGGACGAGCGUUGUCCGGAUUCAUUGGUCGUAAAGCGCGUGUAGGCGGUUGCCCAAGUCGGGUGUGAAAGCCUUGAGCUCAACUCAAGAAAUGCACUCGGUACUGGGUGACUAGAGGACCGGAGAGGAUAGUGGAAUUCCCAGUGUAGUGGUGAAAUACGUAGAGAUUGGGAAGAACACCAGUGGCGAAGGCGGCUAUCUGGACGGUUUCUGACGCUAAGACGCGAAAGCGUGGGGAGCAAACAGG